rnacentral:rRNA from 1 species
GAUGAACGCUGGCGGCGUGCUUAACACAUGCAAGUCGAGCGAGAAGUUUUGAAAAGAUUCUUCGGAUGAAAUUUAAAAUGGAAAGCGGCGGGCGGGUGAGUAACGCGUAGGCAACCUGCCCCAUACAAAGGGAUAGCAUUUGGAAACGAAUAUUAAUACCUUAUGAAACUUAACUAGUGCAUGCUAGGUAGGUCAAAGAUUUAUCGGUAUGGGAUGGGCCUGCGUCUGAUUAGCUAGUUGGUGAGGUAACGGCGCACCAAGGCGACGAUCAGUAGCAGUGCUGGGAGGGUGAACGGCAACAUUGGAACUGAGACACGGUCCAAACUCAUACGGGAGGCAGCAGAGGGGAAUAUUGGCCAAUGGGGGAAACCCUGAUGCAGCAACGCCGCGUGAACGAUGAAGGCCUUUGGGUCGUAAAGUUCUGUUCUAGGUGAUGAAAACUGACAGUAACCUAGGAGAAAGCCCCGGCUAACUCCGUG